rnacentral:rRNA from 1 species
CCCUUAGAUGUUCUGGGCUGCACGCGCGCUACACUGACGCACGCAACAGGUGCCUGCUCCGAGAGGACUGGGUAAUCAUUUGAGUGUGCGUCGUGAUGGGGAUAGAAUAUUGUAAUUAUUACUCUUCAACGAGGAAUUCCUAGUAAGCGCAAGUCAGCAGCUUGCGCUGAUUACGUCCCUGCCCUUUGUACACACCGCCCGUCGCUCCUACCGAUGGGUGAUCCGGUGAAUGAUUCGGACUUCAGCGGCUCCUCUGGGGUGCGCCGGAGAAAGUUUUGUGAACCUUAUCACUUGGAGGAAGGAGAAGCCGUAACA